rnacentral:rRNA from 1 species
UACGAAGGGAGCUAGCGUUGUUCGGAAUCACUGGGCGUAAAGCGCACGUAGGCGGAUUUGCCAGUCAGGGGUGAAAUCCCGGGGCUCAACCUCGGAACUGCCUUUGAUACAGCAAGUCUUGAGUUCGAGAGAGGUGGGUGGAAUUCCUAGUGUAGAGGUGAAAUUCGUAGAUAUUAGGAAGAACACCGAUGGCGAAGGCAGCCAUCUGGACCGACACUGACGCUGAGGCGCGAAAGCGUGGGGAGCAAACAGG